UUACAGAGGUCUCGUUAACCGAGAUCUCUCAAACGGAAUGAGUACAACGUGAAUCCUUUAACGAGGAUCGACUGGAGGGCAAGCCUGGUGCCAGCAGCCGCGGUAAUUCCAGCUCCAGUAGCGUAUAUUAAAGCUGUUGCGGUUAAAAAGCUCGUAGUUGGAUAUCAGUGUGGUUCAGCACGACAUGCCCGGUGCGUUAUGGCGUUCUCGCGAUGACGUCCGGGCUCCCAAAUGUCGUCUGGCUACAUUCAAUGGCGUCGGACUCGGCGGCCGUACUUCGGUGGGGCCUGCCGGCGACCGGCGGUGUUACCUUGAACAAAUUAGAGUGCUCAAAGCAGGCUCUCAAUGCCUGUAUACAUAUUCAUGGAAUUGGAGAAUACGUCCCUGGCUCGAUUUGGUUGGUUUUGAGAGUCGAAGGGAAAUGAUUAAUAGGGACUGACGGAGGCAUUCGUAUUGCGACGC
rnacentral:rRNA from 1 species